rnacentral:rRNA from 1 species
AAUUCGCCCUUGGGCGGUGUGUACAAGGCAUGCAAGUCGAACGGGUUAAACUUUUGUAGCAAUACUUGAGUUUGACUAGUGGCAAACGGGUGAGUAACACAUUGGUAACUUACCUCUAAGACGGGGAUAGCCCACCGAAAGGUGGAUUAAUACCCGAUGGUAACGCGGGGGCACAAGCCAUUCGCGUUUAAAGAUUUAUCGCUUAGAGCAAGGCCUAUGAUCUAUCAGCUAGUUGGUGAGGUAAUGGCUCACCAAGGCUACGACGGAUAGGGGACGUGAGAGCGUGAUCCCCCUCACUGGGACUGAGAACUGCCCAGACAUCUACGGAUGGCUGCAGUCAAGAAUCUUCCGCAAUGGACGAAAGUCUGACGGAGCGACGCCGCGUGCAGGAUGAAGCCCCUCGGGUCGUAAACCCCUUUUACAUGGGACGAAGCGCAAGCUGACGGUACCAUGCGAAUAAGAGGUUGCUAACUCUGUGCCAGCAGCAGCGGUAAUACAGAGACUUCAAGCGUUAUCCGGAUUCACUGGGCGUAAAGCGUCCGCAGGUGGUCCAUAAAGUCAUUUGUCAAAUCCCGGUGCUCAACAUCGGAACUGCGAGUGAAACUCAUGGACUUGAGGAUGGAAGAGGUAAGAGGGACUGCUGGUGUAGUAGUAAAAUGCGUUAAUAUCAGCAGGAACACCAAAGGCGAAGGCAUCUUACUGGGACAUUCCUGACACUCAUGGACGAAAGCGUGGGGAGCAAAACGGAUUAGAUACCCGUGUAGUCCACGCCCUAAACGAUGAGCGCUAGAUUUGGGAAGUAUCGACCCUUUCCGAGUCGUUUUAUAAGCUAACGCGUUAAGCGCUCCGCCUGGGGAGUACGGCCGCAAGGCUAAAACUCAAAGGAAUAGACGGGGACCCGCACAAGCGGUGGAACAUGUGGUUCAAUUCGACAACAAACGAGAAACCUUACCAGGGCUUGACAUGCUUCUGCAAGCGCACGGAAACGUGUGAUCUUCGAGAGUGAAGCACAGGUGCUGCACGGCUGUCGUCAGCUCGUGCUGUGAAGUGUACCCUUCAGUGGGGUAACGAGCGCAACCUCCAUCAUUUGUUUAAUGACCAAAUGAAACCGCGGUCCUAAAGACCGAGGAAGGCGGAGAUGACGUCAAGUCAGCAUGGCCCUUACGCCCUGGGCCACACACAUGUUACAAUGGCCGGUACAAAGGGAAGCGAAGUCGCGAGACGGAGCAAAUCCCAUCAAAGCCGGCCUCAGUUCGGAUUGAAGGCUGCAACUCGCCUUCAUGAAGCCGGAAUCGCUAGUAAACGCGUAUCAGCUACGGCGCGUUGAAUACGUUCUCGGGCCUUGUACACUCCGCCCAAGGGC